UUCUGUUAACUCACCACACCUUAUCUGCUCUCACUAAGACAAGCAAGUGAGCGCUGAAGAAGCAGCAGGGAUACAAAGAUUAAUCAUGGAGCAGGCAGACACUGCAACUAAUACUUCACUGCAGGAGAGGAACAGCUUCUGGUUGCACAAUCCCGCCCUGCAAGAAAAGACCUCUUGGCGGACAGCAGAUGUUUACAACAACACGUCGUGGGAUAAAAUUGCAAAGGAUUUACACAAGCUCCAGUCUGGAUCCAGAACAUCUGAGAAGAGAUGAUGCUGACCCUCAGAGGACCUCAGAUGAUGCUAACCCUGAAUCAACAAACAGAACUAACAAUUAUUGCUACAUGCGUGACUGCAUCAUAUAAUAACUUAAUUAAUAAUAUUGAUAGUUCAUCGUCUAGCUGACUACGUCUUGUAUUAUUAUUAUUUUUUUUUUUUCUAAAAUCCUGUCAAAUGUGCACAAACUACUAGCUAUUACUAAAUAUUGUAGAAACAUAAUUUUCUGUAAAGUUGCUUUGUAACGAUUUGUAUUGUAAAAAGCGCUAUACAAAUAAACUUGAAUUGAAUUGAAAAAUUGAAUUGAAUGCAGAUUAAAGCUUGGAGCUAAAGUACUUCCUAACUUGUUAUAGACUUGCAAGCAGAGGUUUAUCAGAGCACGACUGGCUUGUUUGUAAGUUGUAGCCGUUUUGUUUUAUUUGGGUUUUGGUGCAUCGUUCUCCAAUUAGGCAAUACGGCACUCUCCUUAGAGCAUGAUGUGUUGUUUAAAACCUAAUCAGAGACUAACUACUCCCCAGUUAUUUGUUUCGGGGCCCUGACGCUUGAGAGUUCCCAGAUGUUGUGGAAGGUAGGGAGUCGAUUGUUUAUACAGCAGCGAAUCUUUUCCAAACACACACGUUCUAUCAGCCUGCACGGCUAUCUAUCAGGGGAGGCAGAAGUUACAGUUUUUCUGAAGUCAGGCAGACACAAAAGCCCUACGGCAGCAAAUUACUACUCCCACCCCACCUGCUGAAGCCAGCGUGCUGGCGGCGCAGCGCUCAGACGUGAAACCUGCCUCCAAUCGAUCGGUUGUUGUUGCAGCUGGGCUCCGCUUGAUGGUUUAUUUAAGCGGCUCCACAUGCUUGUGGAGGGGGGAAAGCAGCUGAAUACAUAAAACGGGCUCUCAGAACCACUUUGUGGUCCGGGGGAAGAGUAAAUGGAAUAAUAAAAUCCAAAUGGUUUCAUCCUAUUUUCUAGGCUCAUAAAUCCGGGGAGUCACCAUUUACCUUUAUGAUCCAGCGCAUUCAGAGAAUAUGAGUGUAUGUGUUGCGGGGUGUUAGCUUGAGAGAGUCAGUGUCUAUGCUUUGGGUGUUUUCGCUGAAGGAUUCAACAUAAGACUCUUUCUUGAUUUAUGUUUUAGUUUUCCUAACUCAGUUUUGGUGUCUUAGAAUAAGCUUUGCUUUUCAUUGUGCAUCAAGCAGAAAAUGUUUGUUUUGAGUGCCAUGGUUUUAAGGGGCCUGCAAAUACUUUCACAAAAAUUGCACAAUGCAAUAUGCAUUAUGAAAAUAAAUUGUGUGUGUGUUUUACUGUAAAAGAAAGUGAUAUGUGGGAUCUGGACUGGGCAGGACAUCGGCACAUAACUAAUGAAUUGAGGUGUAACCAAAGUUGCAUGACUGAGAGUGCAUGCCAUCCAUUUCACUGGCUACCAUAAUGACGCUUUUGCCAAUGAAAAGGUGUUUGUUCUUUUGAGACGCAGUCUUGCAUGUCUCUACAGCAAAGGAGAAUGCUUUUAAGCAAUCGGAGUGAAGAGAAGUGUGUUUAAGCAAUGUCAAAUAUUUGAAAAGAUUCACCUGCUCACAAUGCGUGUGCGACUGUGAUGAGUCGCCUUGGUGAAGUCUAAAUGACUAUCACACAGAUAUAAAUGAUGUUCCUUUGGAAUUCGUGAAAGUGGAUUUUUAUAUAGAGGUGUUGAAAUCUGUUUUCCAAAGUAAAAUUUGAAUAUGUUUUCAAAUUGCCUGUUUUAUAUCUAUAAUUGUAUGGUGCUUGUGCCUGCACAGAAAUUGACUUAAAAAAAUACCCUGAGAAUUUUAACUGCAAUAAAUGUGAAAACUAGCUCCACUUUUCCCUGUAUGUAUACAUAUGAUCUGAAUUUGUCUUUCCGUUUAUUUAAUAGGAUUUACACUUUGUGUUUUCUGCAAUACUUUAUUCAGCUUUUAUUUUAUUUUAGAGAGAUAAGUAUUUAUGCUCUCAAAAACAAAAUUCUGCUGUGUUGCUUUUCUGUUUUUGAUUCUGAUUUGUCACAUAUUUCAUGGUUUGUAUGUGUGCGUAGGUUAAUCAUAAAACUGGUUUUAUGAAGGGAUGAAGGUUUCUGCUCUCAAAAAUAACAUUUCCUCUGGUCGGGAGGAUCUCUGGGCUCCAUAUGUUGGAUAAUUUGGUGGAGACCACAUGCUUAUAGAGGCACUUUAUAGGCAGUCUGCACACAUAUUUGUGUUUGGGAGUGUCUGUGUGCUGUCAUCCUGCCUGUGACGACUGCUCUUGAGCUGUGGAGGCCCAGAGCUGUCAGCGGAGUGUCAAGGUCGAGUCAUGACUUUCCUCAUGGAGGGGUCACAAACAGCACAGGGCUCUGCCCAUUUCCUUCCCAUGGGGACAAAGCAAGGUUGUGUCCCGGACUUCCUACUGUACUAGAAACUGAGAGGAAACAUGCCACAACUUUUAUUUUAUCACAUAACAGAACGGCUAUGUUCAGCUUGUGAAUUAUUUUAAAAUUUAUAUUUUGUAUGCUUUAGAUCAUUUGUUUUAUCACACUCACUUUGGAAAUUUUCCUGCUUAUUUAAUGUCACUUAACGUCACACUAGAAACGCAUAGCACAUAUUUUACCUGUCAUAGUAAGGUUAAACGUCAUAAAUUGGCCACAUUUCAGCAUAAGCGAAAGCCAACUCACAAUAUAAUAAUAAUAAUAAUAAUAAAAAUGAAAUAAAAAUGAAAUAAAAACUUU